rnacentral:misc_RNA from 1 species
UUGAGAUUUUUUGAUGCCCCCUGAAACAGUAUGGACAUAGAAAUUGAAGUUCAAGAAUGUAGAGGCCUAUCCCAGAAAUCAAGAUAAUGUAUAUCUACAAGCAGAGUAGCAUAAACUUGCAGAUGAAGAUGGAAACACAAAAUAAAUGAAUCUGAAUUUGGCUUCCUAAGCAAUUUUAUAGCCAAUAAAAUCCUCAAUCUAAACAAACAAUGCAGCAAUGCAAUAAAUGGUUUUGAUAUAGAUAAAAAAUAGAGCAAUCCAAGAUAAAUCAAUAUACUCAAAUUCACAAAGGCAGAUUUUUGGGCCUUUGGCUACAUACAAUAUUACUGAACUAAAACUAACUUCUCACAACAAUGGGUACAGUAUCUGCAUGUACUAUAAACAAGCAUCAUAAUGGAAAGAAAUGAAAUCGUG